GUUCCUUCUUCAACACAAUGUCCUUUAAAACUGCACAUGUACAUUACUCUCUCCUUCUCAACAUUUUUAUCUCCUUAUUUUCUCUCACCUGUGUACCUUACUCCACUCACCUGCCGAUCACCCCCUCACCUUUUAACAUCGUG